CUUCUUCCCUCAUCUUUUAUCAUGCACACUGUACAUUUGCCCUCACCUUCAUUAUUUUUUAAUGAGCAAAGCCCCAUUGAUUGAACGGUAAUAUGUGUCUAUGUUUAAAACUUUGAAUGGAGUAUAAUAUAUUACAAACUGAGAAGUAAAUAUGUUGAUGACAGCGUAUUGUUAUCAAUGUAGAAGCAGUGCGAGUCUUGAUGUUGCAAAUAAAAUUCAAUUGGACCAAGAUGUAAUGCAAAUUAUUUUUUAGUUGCAUACAGUUUAUUAUGCUGUCAAAACGAGUGUUUAGUUAAAAGAAUGCCACGGUUUUCACGUCAGCUCGCAUUUAUCAAAGUAUUUUACUUUCUUCUAAUGGCUAUUAAGCAUGUUUCUCAGGAGGCGUGUCAGUACGAUUACACGACGUCUUUAGGCUUCACGGAACAAUUUGAAAAACAACUAAAUUAUCUUUGUUUCCUUUGGUUGGAUAGUUGGAUUCAAAGGAACGUCUCCAUUGUCACAACUCUGCACCAAAGCAAACAAUGUCAAGAAGCCUGUCAGAUAUACAAGAAUAAAGAAGGCAAAACCAAAAACUAUAAUCGAUAUUGCCAAAUUACUGCAGCAAAAGGCCAAGGAGACCAAAGAGAAGAAACAAUCAGUGAUCACUGCUUCUGCAUUGAAAGCUGCUACUAGUUCAACCAAACCGACUACACCAGAUAAAUUGAAUGACCGGAGUGAUGCCAAAGAAAUUAUUAUUUCCAAUGCAAAAAUUCAAACUUCUGCCAGCACCCUUCCAGCAAAAGAUGCUGUGGAUAGUUAUUCAGCACCUGACACUGCCAUAGUCGAUUCUUCUGUGAAUUUUGCAUAUUCAAAAGAUGUUGACCAAAUGGCCACGGAAGGUCUGCAUAAUAAGACAUACACUGAAAUUAUGAAUGCAAAAGAUGCAGCACCCCAAGCUGUUGAGUCAGCUGUAGAAUCGCCCAUAAUUAAUGCUCCACAAGAGGCUUCAACUCAAGGAGAGAUGACAACAAAUAUCAGUCAAGUUUCUGAGCUGUCUUCAGCAAACCUCU
rnacentral:lncRNA from 1 species